rnacentral:rRNA from 1 species
UGAACGCUAGCGACAGGCUUAACACAUGCAAGUCAGGGGUAACAGGGUAGCAAUACCGCUGACGACCGGCGCACGGGUGAGUAACGCGUGUGCAACCUGCCUAUAACUGGGGAAUAGCUCCCUGAAAGGGGAAUUAACACCGCAUAACACUAUUGAUUCGCAUGGAUUAGUAGUUAAAUGUAGCGAUACAGGUUAUAGAUGGGCAUGCGUGACAUUAGCUAGUUGGUGAGGUAACGGCUCACCAAGGCUACGAUGUCUAGGGGUUCUGAGAGGAAGGUCCCCCACACUGGUACUGAGACACGGACCAGACUCCUACGGGAGGCAGCAGUGAGGAAUAUUGGUCAAUGGGCGCAAGCCUGAACCAGCCAUGUCGCGUGCAGGAAGACUGCCCCCUAUGGGUUGUAAACUGCUUUUAUAGUAGAAGAAACACAUCUACGUGUAGAUGUCUGCCAGUAUACUAUGAAUAAGCAUCGGCUAACUCCGUGCCAGCAGCAGC